rnacentral:rRNA from 1 species
GACGUAGGGAGCGAGCGUUGUCCGGAUUCAUUGGGCGUAAAGAGCGCGCAGGCGGUUUGGUAAGUCGGAUGUGAAAACCCGGGGCUCAACCCCGGACGUGCAUCUGAUACUGCCCGACUAGAGGUAGGUAGGGGAGAUCGGAAUUCCUGGUGUAGCGGUGAAAUGCGCAGAUAUCAGGAGGAACACCGGUGGCGAAGGCGGACAUCUGGACCGGAACUGACGCUGAGGCGCGAAAGCCAGGGGAGCGAAUGGG